UUACAAGGGUUAUAUAUAUUUAGCGUAUCAUAUUACCUAUAGCUCAAGGUAAUCAUGGAUAAAUUGAUCUCAACAGUAUCAAAGAUACCGUAUUAUCAGGGUAUUUUGCUUCCGGAUUACCCAGAAUUCGCGAACGAUGUUGAAAAGAAGAUGUUAGAUAUAAGGAAUUUUGAUUCACGAAAAUCAGACAUUCUGCUUUGUUCUUCUGUGAAAUAAGGUUCCCAUUGGUUGUUAGAAAUCAUCUCCAUGCUGCUUUCCGGAAGUUGCGAUGUAACAAAAGAAACAGUAUUGGGUUGCAAUCUUGAAUACACACAACUUAAGGCGUUCGAAGAUAGACCAGAUCCACGAAUUGUUCAUUCAGAUCUUCCUCUGAAAUUUCUGCCCGCAAAGCAUUUAUAAAAGUC